rnacentral:tRNA from 1 species
AGGUCGGUGGUGUAACGGUAGCACGUUCGUCUCCAAAACGAACAGGCGUAGGUUCGACCCCUGCCCGGCCUGCCA